GCGCCCGCGGGGUAGGAGACCUGGAGCUGGAGAACCCGCCCGCCAGAGUCGUAGUAGUGGAUGGGGAGUAGCCGUCCCAUUUUCAACACGUGUCUCAUUCUAAACUGACGUUCUGGUGGGCUGGCCGAAGAAGGAGAAAGACCCGCGGCUCCGACCUCUGACCUCUAACCCCGGACGCACUUUGAUUUCGCCGGCUUGCGCGGAAGGCUGACUCCCUGGGCCGCGGCCUGGCGGGGGAGCCGCCUGUGGGGUGUCCCCGGCGCGGGAGGGUGCUCUGGUUCAGGCCUGCUGCCCAGGUAUGCACAAGUCAAGGCCUUUUCUGCAGACCAAGUAGCCUUCCCUGGAGAGCGCCCCCAGCACCACGGAAACUAUCUAUAUGCCCCGCGGUGGUCAGCCCGCCUUAUCCCAGCCCCGAGACCCAAAACAAGAAGCAUGGACUGAAUUUGAGGUUUCUGGAUGGUCGUGUGAACCGAGGGGACGGGUACUGGACUGACAAGAAAUGAGCCUUGAAGGUCAAUCUGGGUGACACCCGAGUCUCCUGAUGGAGUUUCACUAUGUUGCCCAGGCUGAUCUGGAACUCCUGACCUCAAGCAAUCCACCUGCCUCAGCCUCCCAAAGUACUGGGAUUACAGGAGGGAGCCACCGUGCCCGGCCUGGUCCUGUGCAUUUUAUAGAUAAGGUAACUGACAAACCUAGCCACAGUCACCCCUUCGCCCUAAAGGAGAACUGGAAUUUGAACCCAGAGCCUUGUUCACCACCACCUCCGUUGUUUCUGGAAGCACCCUCCAGGCAGGCCAGCCAGCAUCACGGGGCCUCCCCUGGGGCUGGAACGUCUGCAGGAUGCCCCUUUGGGAAAUGCUGUUCCACAGAACCCUGCCUUUCAGGCCUUGGAGACGUGGGCAGGGGAGAAGCAGCGUCCCUCAGAGCCAGGCCUGGCAGUGGUGCCAGCAGGGGCCGAGGCCCAGGGAGCAGGGUCUCCUGUCGGAGGGACCUGGGCAAGCCCUUCCACGUGCCAGCGGGUUUCUCAGCAGGGGAGGUCCACACCACACCGCCUGGGAACCUGGGUGCCUAAACGCAACAGGAGCCAAGGCACAAAUUUAACCAAACACCAAGGUUGCGUGAGGCCCCAAUUCAUGAGCCGGGCUCCAAGGACGUGUCCUUAGGCGGCUCUGGAAGGCCCAGCGCCAGCCCCCGUCCUCUGUUAAAGGGAGCCAGCCCCGCGGCUCCGCCCGGGCAUGGUAGCCUGAGCACACCCCCAGGGUAGUAGGGGGCACCUGAAGAGCAGGGUCUGCCCUGGCAUGAGCAGAGCCCAGUUUGGGGUCAGGGUCAGGCCCUGCCAGAGGCUGGAGGGUGCCCAAGGCGAGGCCGGUGAGGCCCAGCUCUACAAAUAAAGUGUUUUAUUUACAGGA
rnacentral:antisense_RNA from 1 species